rnacentral:rRNA from 1 species
GAUCCUGGGUCAAAUCAGACCUAGCUUGUCUGAUGUUAAGUUUGGACGGGUGAGUAACACGUGGGUAACCUACCUAUAAGACUGGGAUAACUCCGGGAAACCGGGGCUAAUACCGGAUAAUAUUUUGAACCGCAUGGUUCGAUAGUGAAAGACGGUUUCGGCUGUCACUUAUAGAUGGACCCGCGCCGUAUUAGCUAGUUGGUAAGGUAACGGCUUACCAAGGCGACGAUACGUAGCCGACCUGAGAGGGUGAUCGGCCACACUGGAACUGAGACACGGUCCAGACUCCUACGGGAGGCAGCAGUAGGGAAUCUUCCGCAAUGGGCGAAAGCCUGACGGAGCAACGCCGCGUGAGUGAUGAAGGUCUUCGGAUCGUAAAACUCUGUUGUUAGGGAAGAACAAAUUUGUUAGUAACUGAACAAGUCUUGACGGUACCUAACCAGAAAGCCACGGCUAACUACGUGCCAGCAGCCGCGGUAAUACGUAGGUGGCAAGCGUUAUCCGGAAUUAUUGGGCGUAAAGCGCGCGUAGGCGGUUUCUUAAGUCUGAUGUGAAAGCCCACGGCUCAACCGUGGAGGGUCAUUGGAAACUGGGAAACUUGAGUGCAGAAGAGGAGAGUGGAAUUCCAUGUGUAGCGGUGAAAUGCGCAGAGAUAUGGAGGAACACCAGUGGCGAAGGCGGCUCUCUGGUCUGUAACUGACGCUGAUGUGCGAAAGCGUGGGGAUCAAACAGGAUUAGAUACCCUGGUAGUCCACGCCGUAAACGAUGAGUGCUAAGUGUUAGGGGGUUUCCGCCCCUUAGUGCUGCAGCUAACGCAUUAAGCACUCCGCCUGGGGAGUACGACCGCAAGGUUGAAACUCAAAGGAAUUGACGGGGACCCGCACAAGCGGUGGA